rnacentral:rRNA from 1 species
GACGAACGCUGGCGGCGUGCUUAACACAUGCAAGUCGAACGGUAAGGCUCCAGCUUGCUGGGGUACACGAGUGGCGAACGGGUGAGUAACACGUGGGUGACCUGCCCUGCACUUCGGGAUAAGCCUGGGAAACUGGGUCUAAUACCGGAUAGGACCGCACCGUGAGGGUGUGGUGGAAAGUUUUUUCGGUGUGGGAUGGGCCCGCGGCCUAUCAGCUUGUUGGUGGGGUAAUGGCCUACCAAGGCGGCGACGGGUAGCCGGCCUGAGAGGGUGGACGGCCACAUUGGGACUGAGACACGGCCCAGACUCCUACGGGAGGCAGCAGUGGGGAAUAUUGCACAAUGGGCGGAAGCCUGAUGCAGCGACGCCGCGUGGGGGAUGACGGCCUUCGGGUUGUAAACUCCUUUCACCAUCGACGAAGGGUUUCUGACUGUAGAUGGAGAAGAAGCACCGGCUAACUACGUG